ACGGGGUGCAGCAGGCGCGAAACCUUCACAAUGCACGAAAGUGUGAUGAGGGUACUCCGAGUGCGCAUACAUUGUAUGUGCUUUUCUGCAGCGUAAAUAGUUGCAGGAAUAAGGGCUGGGCAAGACCGGUGCCAGCCGCCGUGGUAACACCGGCAGCCCUAGUGGUGGCCGCUUUUAUUGGGCCUAAAGCGUCCGUAGCCGGACAGGCGAGUCUUUGGGUAAAUCCUACGUCUUAAGCGUGGGAAUUCUAAAGAUACUACCUGUCUUGAGGCCGGGAGAGGCUGGAGGUACUCCUGGGGUAGGGGUAAAAUCCUAUAAUCCUGGGGGGACCACCGAUGGCGAAGGCAUCCAGCUGGAACGGGCCUGACGGUGAGGGACGAAACCCAGGGGAGCGAGCCGGAUUAGAUACCCGGGUAGUCCUGGGCGUAAAUGAUGUGGGCUUGGUGUGAGCGCAUCGACGAGGUGCGCUUGUGCCGUAGGGAAGCCGUUAAGCCCACCGCCUGGGGAGUACGGUCGCAAGGCUGAAACUUAGAGGAAUUGGCGGGGGAG
rnacentral:rRNA from 1 species